rnacentral:lncRNA from 1 species
CACUGGUUGCCAUGGCAGCACAGCUGCAUCAGGAGGACUUAACGUUGACCAGGAGGCCGGGAGGAAGCGUCUCCUUCAGCUGUCGAGAAACUCGUCAGUGUAGUAGUAACUGGGUCUACUGGUACCAGAAGAAACAAGCAGGAACGUUCAGAGUGAUUCUUGACAUUGGCAAGACAAAUGGAGACAUAGAUAAACGUUACAAUCAUCCUCAGAAAGAUGAUUUCUCAGCUGCAAACAUACAAAACGGCUGUGAGUUACAGAUCAAACAGGUUAAAGUGGAUCACGCUGCCUCCUACUACUGCACCUGUUGGAAGUCUGGUUCCCACAGUGAGACAUGAUUCAUGAAGCCUGAACAAAAAGCAGCAGCUGAACAGACGUCAGACAGGAGGAGACAGUGAAACCUCAGCACAGCUUCACAGCUGAAGCCCUGAGUCUCAACAUGUCUCCACAUCCAGCUUCAGAGUUCUGACCCGAUGCAGGUCCAGUAGCUGCAUGGACUCGCUGCGUGGAGGUGAGGAGAGUCUGAUCUGGGACCUGCUGAUGGAGAAAGAGUCAGGUGGACGACAGCAGGUGGAGCAAAGUGAAGGAGACAACGUCAAAAUAAAAGCCUGGAACAAGGAAGUCAAACACAUGUUGGAAUGUUUACUUGUAAAACAGACGAGCCGGUGCUGAAGCCCGUGGUGAGCGUGUACCCAGCAGCGUCCAGAGGCCUGGAGGCGAGCGGCUCCCUGCUGUGCGUGGCCUCGCACAUGUUUCCUCCUCGAGUCCGCUUCUCCUGGAAGGUCCAGAAGGAGGACGGCUCCUGGGCCGAGCCGAGCCGACCCGAGGAAGAGCAGCUGGAGCUGGAGGAGUCGGGACGCAGCGCCUCCAUCCUGCUCCACGGGCCACAGAGCAGCACCGCUAAAUACCGCUGUGAGGUGCAGCACGAAGGGGGGGCGGCGGAGGCCCGCACGGCUCAAGAGGUUCCGGCUCCAGCGGCCUCGUGUCCUCCAGAGAGAGAAGCAGCAGCGCCGGCAGCUCUGCAGCCGACUGACGGUGAGAGCAGCUGCUGCGUCUCUGAGGAGCAGCAGAGCAGCGGACUGACGUCUGUGUCCACCUUCUGUUGCAGAGCUUCCCCUGGACCGGGACCGGGACCGGGACCGGGAGCAGAACCCAUUGGAGCAGCAGCGGGUCAAGCUGCUGUGCGUGUGCUCCACGGUGCUGAUAGUCAAGAGUCUGGUUUAUUGCUGUGGACUCUCUGUGCUGAGGAUCCUCAGGACCGAGCCUCACCUGCUCUGAGCUCCGUUCAGCACCUUUUUAUCGCUUUCACAUUUAUUAGUAUCAGUCCCAGAAUGUUUAGUUUGUUCAGUGACUGUGUUCCACAUCUCUUGUCUUUGUCUUUUCAAUUUAAAUAAAAGUCAGCGUUCCUGAAUAAUUCCUGAAUUAUUUCUCAUUAAUUCAACACAUUUUAAAAACAUAAUGGAAUAAAAAACGUUCCGACACAGAAACUCUGAUUUAG